CAGCGCCACGAGUGGGGAUCGCUUUUAUUGGGCCUAAAGCGUCCGUAGCCGGUUUUGUAAAUUCUUUGUGAAAUUGUUAAGCUUAACUUAACAGCGAGCAGGGAACACUGCAGAACUAGAGACCGGGAGGAGUUAGAGGUAUGUUUGGGGGAGCGGUAAAAUGCUAUAAUCCCACACAGACCACCUGUGGUGAAGACGUCUAACUAGAACGGAUCUGACGGUGAGGGACGAAAGCCAGGGGAGCGAACCGGAUUAGAUACCCGAGUAGUCC
rnacentral:rRNA from 1 species